GUCUCUUAGAGAAUGCCUCUAGUGUGGUUAUCAGCUUAGAAUAGAUGUUGAAUUGGAGAUGGAGAUCAACUCAGUCAGCUCAAUUAGGAGAAGAAGACAUACGAUCGAGGCGCGUAUAAAUGGGUUGGCUCGAAUGCUUGGAUUUCACAUUCGCUCUUCCUUGCGCACCGGAUUGAGGCCUUGACUCGCAAGUCUCAUCUGUCAGAGCACUUCGUGUGGAACCCAGAACUGGUACCACAUCUUUUGAAGAAAACAUAACCACCCCAAUAUUUUGGUGCUUGUGACCCUCAAGGAACUAUCACGUGGCUUUCAGGUGAUCUGAGGAUUGAUUGUACGAGUACACUCCUCGAUGCAUACUGGGGAAGCCCACAAGAAGCUUAGUGAUCCCAACGAGUCAAGUCAAACACGCUGCACUCUUGUGAUUGAAAGUGAGCUAAGCUGAACACUCUGCCUUCUUGUGAUUGAAGGUGGAGUAAUCUCUUGACUUUGGCACUGCAUAAAGAUCCCUCUGGAUCAGUUUCUUCACUUUGUGAGCCCAAGAACUUUACAGAUUCGUACUUGGUGUGAAUUGGCAGCCCCAGGCUUUCACUUGACACUCAUUUUUGCCACCCAUAUGUAGGAUGCACUGUGAUACAAGCAUCAAAAACAAGUGCAGUGAACCCUCUUGAGUUGAAUCUUGCUUCUGCAGCCUAUACGCAGGACACACUGCAAUAU